rnacentral:lncRNA from 1 species
GAAAAUAAAUAUCAGCACACACACAAACACGAACGAGCGGAGACGCACACACGUGCAUCUUGUUAAGCAAAGACAUCCAAAACAUCAGAACUUUGGUGCUGUCUCUUUGGCCGAGGAGUGCUGUUUCACUGGUUAAAGGUAGCCUGUGGAUAUGUUCUGAGUGGAGCAGCUCAAAGGUCUGAGAGGCAAACGCUGGGCUGCUAUUAGCGUGCCCUUUGCUAGCUGGCGGGGAGGCCCCUGAACAUGUUCCAGGCUGACCUACAUGCUGAGAGCCGCACCCCGACACAAAGGAGGGCAUCGCGUCCCCCAGCCCGCUCCUCCAAGCCCGUCUGAGGGAGUAGGAGUGAAAGCCUUCACACGGUGCCCUGCAGCGCUGAUAGCGGUGGUUACUCAUCUCUGGAGGACAUUGUUUGCUAUGUACUUCACCGUGAACUCCUGGAUUUUAUGGACAUGCGGGCAGGUCGAAGCAGACCUUUGAACGGCCACGACUGUGGGAACCGCAGACAUAACAGGCUGGGAGCUGCUAGUGCUACGCUAUCUUAUCUCCGUGUCAGAAGUCU